ensembl:lncRNA
CAUCCCAGGCGGUAGUUUGGACAAGUGCCGCGUUUACAAGCUAGUCAUCGAGCCGAACGUCAACGCUAGCUGGCUAUCGUGAGUGAUGCUAAAGCUAACUGGCUAUGGGACAGAAGCAGAUUCAGCUGCCCAGACAACAUGGCAGAGUUGGUAUAGUGACGGGAGGCAUCAGUGGAAUCUGCUUUGAGACCGCAAGACACAUGGCCAGCCUGGGGGCACACUUUAUCAUAGCUGGACAGCAGGAGCGGGAGGGUGUGUCUGCUGUGAAGAGGAUUCGUGAGGAGAACAGAGAGGCCAAAGGUCACAGUCCCCACAACCCUGUUUGGUUUUGUGUCUCCUUGGCUCUGGAUAUUACUGAUUGGCUGGAGAGUGAACACACCUUUUCAAAGCCACAGUUCUGUAAACAGCUGAGGGAUGAGUGUAACGGCUGUUGGAAGGAGUGGAGGACCAAGGUGCAGCGUGUGGUGUUUGAGCAGUUGGAUUUGGCGUCUUUGCUGUCAGUAAGGCAAUUCAUCAAGACAUUCAAGAG